rnacentral:snRNA from 1 species
GUGCUUCCAUUGGCAGCACCUGUGCUGUGAUUGGACUGAUACAGAGAUGAUUGCUUAGCAUGGCCUCUGUACAAGGGUGACUUGCAAAUUUGUGAAGCAUUCCCUAUUUUU